rnacentral:rRNA from 1 species
UGGCGGCCGUAGCGCGGUGGUCCCACCUGACCCCAUGCCGAACUCAGAAGUGAAACGCCGUAGCGCCGAUGGUAGUGUGGGGUCUCCCCAUGUGAGAGUAGGGAACCGCCAGGU